CCUACGGGUGGCAGCAGUGAGGAAUAUUGGUCAAUGGGCGGAAGCCUGAACCAGCCAAGUAGCGUGCAGGAUGACGGCCCUACGGGUUGUAAACUGCUUUUAUACGGGAAUAACGCGCCUUACGUGUAGGGCUUUGCAUGUACCGUAUGAAUAAGGACCGGCUAAUUCCGUGCCAGCAGCCGCGGUAAUACGGAAGGUCCGGGCGUUAUCCGGGUUUAUUGGGUUUAAAGGGAGCGUAGGCCGCAUGUCAAGCGUGCUGUGAAAUGUCCGGGCUCAACCCGGGCCUUGCAGCGCGAACUGGCGUGCUUGAGUCCGCGGAAAGCAGGCGGAAUUCGGCGUGGAGCGGUGAAAGGCUUAGAGAUGACGAAGAACCCCGAUUGCGAAGGCAGCUUGCUGCAGCGGAACUGACGCUGAUGCUCGAAAGCGCGGGUAUCGAACAGGAUUAGAUACCCCGGUAGUC
rnacentral:rRNA from 1 species